rnacentral:rRNA from 1 species
UACGAAGGGUGCAAGCGUUAAUCGGAAUUACUGGGCGUAAAGGGUGCGUAGGCGGUUCGUUAAGUCUGUCGUGAAAUCCCCGGGCUCAACCUGGGAAUGGCGAUGGAUACUGGCGAGCUAGAGUGUGUCAGAGGAUGGUGGAAUUCCCGGUGUAGCGGUGAAAUGCGUAGAGAUCGGGAGGAACAUCAGUGGCGAAGGCGGCCAUCUGGGACAACACUGACGCUGAAGCACGAAAGCGCGGGGAGCAAACAGG